rnacentral:rRNA from 1 species
GUAACGAGCGCAACCCUCGUCCUUAGUUACCAGCACGUUAUGGUGGGCGACUCUAAGGAGACUGCCGGUGACAAACCGGAGGAAGGUGGGGAUGACGUCAAGUCAUCAUGGCCCUUACGGCCUGGGCUACACACGUGCUACAAUGGUCGGUACAAAGGGUUGCCAAGCCGCGAGGUGGAGCUAAUCCCAUAAAACCGAUCGUAGUCCGGAUCGCAGUCUGCAACUCGACUGCGUGAAGUCGGAAUCGCUAGUAAUCGUGAAUCAGAAUGUCACGGUGAAUACGUUCCCGGGCCUU